GGAUGAGUGUCUGAGUGGUCGAAGGUAUCGGUCUUGAAAACCGACAUACGUUAUACGUAUCGGGGGUUCGAAUCCCUUCUCAUCCG
rnacentral:tRNA from 1 species